rnacentral:rRNA from 1 species
CCUACGGGAGGCAGCAGUAGGGAAUUUUCGGCAAUGGGGGGAACCCUGACCGAGCAACGCCGCGUGAACGAAGAAGUUAUUCGUAAUGUAAAGUUCUUUUAACAGGGAAGAAAGAGAAAUUUGACGGUACCUGAAGAAUAAGCGCCGGCUAACUACGAGCCAGCAGCGGCGGUAAUACGUAGGGAGCGAGGGUUAUCCGGAAUUAUUGGAGGAAAGGGGUGCGUAGAUGGCAUAGUAAGUCUUUUGUAAAAAGGCUGGGCUCAACCCAGUAGGGCAAAAGAUACUGCAAUGCUAGAGUAUGACAGAGGCAAGUGGAACUACAUGUGUAGCGGUAAAAUGCGUAAAUAUAUGUAAGAACACCAGUGGCGAAGGCGGCUUGCUGGGUCGAUACUGACAUUGAGGCACGAAAGCGUGGGGAGCAAACAGGAUUAGAUACCCGGGUAGUC